GUGGCUUAAUUUGACUCAACGCGGGAAAUCUUACUAGAUCAGGACACUUUGAGGAUUGACAGACAGUUAUACCGAACUACGAAUAAUGAAUGGUCCAGGGUAGGCAAAAACUAAUAGCUCUUUUAUGAUUAUGUGAUAGGUGGUGCAUGGCCGUUCUUAGUUCGUGGAGUGAUCUGUCUGCUUAAUUGCGUUUCAAAACAACUGAUACACAGAGUCUUGGCACAGUUCAGUUUAAUGGCGUCGAGUAUCUUUGAUUUCGACAGUAGUCCAACUCGGUUCGCCAGGGUCUCUUUUGAACGCAACGGACGUGAUCGCAACCCUUUGUUGAGUGAUGUCAGCACUCUACGUCUAUCCUAGCUCGU
rnacentral:rRNA from 1 species